rnacentral:rRNA from 1 species
CCUACGGGAGGCAGCAGUGGGGGAUAUUGCACAAUGGGGGGAACCCUGAUGCAGCGACGCCGCGUGGGUGAAGAAGCGCCUCGGCGCGUAAAGCCCUGUCAGCAGGGAAGAAAAUGACGGUACCUGAAGAAGAAGCCCCGGCUAACUACGUGCCAGCAGCCGCGGUAAUACGUAGGGGGCAAGCGUUAUCCGGAUUUACUGGGUGUAAAGGGGGCGCAGACGGCGAUGCAAGCCAGGAGUGAAAGCCCGGGGCCCAACCCGGGGACUGCGCGUGGAACUGGGUGGCUAGAGUGCAGGAGGGGCAGGCAGAAUUCCUGGUGUAGCGGUGAAAUGCGUAGAUAUCAGGAGGAACACCGGUGGCGAAGGCGGCCUGCUGGACUGCAACUGACGUUGAGGCCCGAAAGCGUGGGGAGCAAACAGGAUUAGAUACCCGUGUAGUC